rnacentral:rRNA from 1 species
UACGUAGGAGGCAAGCGUUGUCCGGAAUUACUGGGUGUAAAGCGCGUGUAGGUGGCAGGCCAAGUCUGUUGUGAAAUCGCCCGGCUCAACUGGGCGCGGUCAAUGGAAACUGGUCAGCUGGAGGACGGUAGAGGCGAGUGGAGUUCCCGGUGUAGCGGUGAAAUGCGUAGAGAUGUGGAGGAACACCAGUGGCGAAGGCGGCUUUCUGGUCUGUAACUGACGCUGAGGCGCGAAAGCGUGGGGAGCAAACAGG